UAACUUACCCAUCAGAGGGGGAUAACAACUUGGAAACAAGGGCUAAUACCGCAUAACAGUUUAUGCCGCAUGGCAUAAGAGUGAAAGGCGCUUUCGGGUGUCGCUGAUGGAUGGACCCGCGGUGCAUUAGCUAGUUGGUGAGGUAACGGCUCACCAAGGCCACGAUGCAUAGCCGACCUGAGAGGGUGAUCGGCCACACUGGGACUGAGACACGGCCCAG
rnacentral:rRNA from 1 species